rnacentral:siRNA from 1 species
AUAGUCCAGAUUACUCAUGUGUA